rnacentral:rRNA from 1 species
UACGGGGGGGGGUAAGCGUUGUUCGGAAUUACUGGGCGUAAAGGGCUCGUAGGCGGCCAACUAAGUCAUACGUGAAAUCCCUCAGCUUAACUGGGGAACUGCGUGUGAUACUGGAUGGCUUGGAUUUGGGAGAGGAUGCGGAAUUCCAGGUGUAGCGGUGAAAUGCGUAGAUAUCUGGAGGAACACCGGUGGCGAAGGCGGCAUCCUGGACCAAUAUUGACGCUGAGGAGCGAAAGCUAGGGGAGCAAACGGG